GUCCUCGUAGUUAAAUGGAUAUAACCGGCCCCUCCUAAGGGUCAAUUACAGGUUCGAUUCCUGUCGAGGACGCCA
rnacentral:tRNA from 6 species